rnacentral:rRNA from 1 species
GUCCACGCCUAACGAUGUCAACUAGGUGUUGGAAGGUGACUUCCUUAGUACCGCAGCUAACGCGUGAAGUUGACCGCCUGGGAGUACGGCCGCAAGGUUAAACUCAAGGAAUUGACGGGACCCGCACAAGCGGUGGAUGAUGUGGAUUAAUUCGAUGCAACGCGAAACCUUACCUACCCUUGACAUGCCAGGAACUCUGCUGAGAGGUGGAGGUGCCCGAAAGGGAGCCUGGACACAGGUGCUGCAUGGCUGUCGU